UUUUCUUUUUGCUGUGAUAUCAGAAUUUUA
rnacentral:piRNA from 1 species